rnacentral:rRNA from 1 species
UGGGGAAUUUUGGACAAUGGGGGAAACCCUGAUCCAGCCAUCCCGCGUGUGCGAUGAAGGCCUUCGGGUUGUAAAGCACUUUUGGCAGGAAAGAAACGUCAUGGGUUAAUACCCCGUGAAACUGACGGUACCUGCAGAAUAAGCACCGGCUAACUACGUGCCAGCAGCCGCGGUAAUACGUAGGGUGCAAGCGUUAAUCGGAAUUACUGGGCGUAAAGCGUGCGCAGGCGGUUCGGAAAGAAAGAUGUGAAUUCCCAGAGCUCAACUUUGGAACUGCAUUUUUAACUACCGGGCUAGAGUGUGUCAGAGGGAGGUGGAAUUCCGCGUGUAGCAGUGAAAUGCGUAGAUAUGCGGAGGAACACCGAUGGCGAAGGCAGCCUCCUGGGAUAACACUGACGCUCAUGCACGAAAGCGUGGGGAGCAAACAGG